rnacentral:lncRNA from 1 species
ACGACCCGGACACCUACACCGUCACCUACAUCGGCAUGCACACCUGCCGUGACCCGGCCACCGCCGUCGCGUCGCUCGUCGUGCACGCGGCCGGCGUCACCGGCGACGACCUCCACCACCACGCGGGGUCCCGCCUCAUCAGCUUCGCCGCCGCCAACAACAACGCCAGCGCGGCGACGACCAGCACCACCACCACCGGGAACACCACCAACCAACAACUGGCGGUCCUGCAGCCCCUGAAGCUGGAGUGCGGCGGCGGCGGCGAGCAGGAGGAGGUGCUGAGCAGCCUCACCCCGGCGGGGAGCUCGGCGGCCGCGGAGGCGAUGCGGAACGGGAACGCCGCGGCGGCGGCGGCGACGACGACAGGGCCGGAGCCGGACCAGGGGGACGUGACGUCUGGCCUGCAGCUGCAGCAGUUCUACGGCGCCGGCGAUGACCUUGCGUACAUGGCGCGCUUCAGCUACGAUGACACGUUCGAUCUCGAGGACAUUGUUGUGUUCGGAGCUCCGGAUUCGAUCACGGACAUUUAUGCUGAUGAGUAGACCAAGGAAUCGGAAGAAGAUGGUGG